UAAGAUAGAGGUGCGAUGCCGAUAAGUACUCCUUCGAAAAGCCCUGGGCGGCAGGGGGAUGGAAAGGCGGCGUUGCCGAAGCGGUUUUCUCUGCCCAAGGGGGUCUGCCGCUGGGACAUUGCAAAAAAUGUAAUGUACUGUCACUUAUGUGGAGCGCUAUCGG
rnacentral:ncRNA from 1 species